GCAUGACCCUCUUUUGUCACUGGAUUCCACACAUAAUGGAAGGUGCUCUCGUCUUCAUACAUGUACCAUUCGUUUUCGUUUUGUUCCUCCCAUCUUGUCAACAAUAACAAGAGGAGGCCAUUGGCAGAGGCAGCAAUAUACGCGGAACAUCCAGCAAUAUACGCAGAACAUCCAUCAGGAAGGGAGAAAGACAACUUAGUUUCACAAACGUCAUGUUGCCCAAUAAGGUUGACGGGCAUAAAGUCAAUAUUGUGAUCACAUAUCCACACAAAGCCAGGCAACCCACAACGGCGUGAGCGUUGGUGUGCGAAUGUAGGAUCAUGGUUGAUGAG
rnacentral:lncRNA from 1 species